UACGUAGGCAGCGAGCGUUGUUCGGAAUUACUGGGCGUAAAGAGUGUGUAGGCGGUGCUCUAAGUUCGGUGUGAAAUCUCCUGGCUUAACUGGGAGGGUGCGCCGGAAACUGGGGUGCUCGAGCGUGGGAGAGGAAAGCGGAAUUCCUGGUGUAGCGGUGAAAUGCGUAGAUAUCGGGAGGAACACCUGUGGCGAAAGCGGCUCACUGGACCAUAACUGACGCUGAUGCACGAAAGCUGGGGGAGCAUACAGG
rnacentral:rRNA from 1 species